UCGACGAUGAUGCCCAGCUUGCUGGGUGGAUUAGUGGCGAACGGGUGAGUAACACGUGAGUAACCUGCCCCUGACUCUGGGAUAAGCGUUGGAAACGACGUCUAAUACUGGAUAUGACUGCCGGCCGCAUGGUCUGGUGGUGGAAAGAUUUUUUGGUUGGGGAUGGACUCGCGGCCUAUCAGCUUGUUGGUGAGGUAAUGGCUCACCAAGGCGACGACGGGUAGCCGGCCUGAGAGGGUGACCGGCCACACUGGGACUGAGACACGGCCCAGACUCCUACGGGAGGCAGCAGUGGGGAAUAUUGCACAAUGGGCGAAAGCCUGAUGCAGCAACGCCGCGUGAGGGAUGACGGCCUUCGGGUUGUAAACCUCUUUUAGUAGGGAAGAAGGGAGCUUGCUCUU
rnacentral:rRNA from 1 species